rnacentral:rRNA from 1 species
GAUGAACGCUGGCGGCGUGCCUAAUACAUGCAAGUCGAGCGAACGGACGAGAAGCUUGCUUCUCUGAUGUUAGCGGCGGACGGGUGAGUAACACGUGGAUAACCUACCUAUAAGACUGGGAUAACUUCGGGAAACCGGAGCUAAUACCGGAUGAUAUUUUGAACCGCAUGGUUCAAAAGUGAAAGACGGGCUUGCUGUCACUUAUAGAUGGAUCCGCGCUGCAUUAGCUAGUUGGUAAGGUAACGGCUUACCAAGGCAACGAUGCAUAGCCGACCUGAGAGGGUGAUCGGCCACACUGGAACUGAGACACGGUCCAGACUCCUACGGGAGGCAGCAGUAGGGAAUCUUCCGCAAUGGGGGAAAGCCUGACGGAGCAACGCCGCGUGAGUGAUGAAGGUCUUCGGAUCGUAAAACUCUGUUAUUAGGGAAGAACAUAUGUGUAAGUAACUGUGCACAUCUUGACGGUACCUAAUCAGAAAGCCACGGCUAACUACGUG